rnacentral:rRNA from 1 species
UGGGGAAUUUUGGACAAUGGGCGAAAGCCUGAUCCAGCAAUGCCGCGUGUGUGAAGAAGGCCUUCGGGUUGUAAAGCACUUUUGUCCGGAAAGAAAUCCUUGGCUCUAAUACAGUCGGGGGAUGACGGUACCGGAAGAAUAAGCACCGGCUAACUACGUGCCAGCAGCCGCGGUAAUACGUAGGGUGCAAGCGUUAAUCGGAAUUACUGGGCGUAAAGCGUGCGCAGGCGGUUUGCUAAGACCGAUGUGAAAUCCCCGGGCUCAACCUGGGAACUGCAUUGGUGACUGGCAGGCUAGAGUAUGGCAGAGGGGGGUAGAAUUCCACGUGUAGCAGUGAAAUGCGUAGAGAUGUGGAGGAAUACCGAUGGCGAAGGCAGCCCCCUGGGCCAAUACUGACGCUCAUGCACGAAAGCGUGGGGAGCAAAACAGGAUUAGAUACCCUGGUAGUCCACGCCCUAAACGAUGUCAACUAGUUGUGGGGAUUCAUUUCCUUAGUAACGUAGCUAACGCGUGAAGUUGACCGCCUGGGGAGUACGGUCGCAAGAUUAAAACUCAAAUGAAUUGACGGGGUCAUAGCUGUUUCCU